GCACAAGCGGUGGAGCAUGUGGUUUAAUUCGAAGCAACGCGAAGAACCUUACCAGGUCUUGACAUCCGCUGACAACCUUGGAGACAAGGCAUUCCCUUCGGGGACAGCGUGGCAGGUGGUGCAUGGUUGUCGUCAGCUCGUGUCGUGAGAUGUUGGGUUAAGUCCCGCAACGAGCGCAACCCUUGAUUCUAGUUGCCAGCAUUCAGUUGGGCACUCUAGAGUGACUGCCGGUGACAAACCGGAGGAAGGUGGGGAUGACGUCAAAUCAUCAUGCCCCUUAUGACCUGGGCUACACACGUGCUACAAUGGAUGGUACAAAGGGCAGCAAGACCGCGAGGUUAAGCAAAUCCCAUAAAACCAUUCUCAGUUCGGAUUGCAGGCUGCAACUCGCCUGCAUGAAGCCGGAAUCGCUAGUAAUCGCGGAUCAGCAUGCCGCGGUGAAUACGUCCCGGGC
rnacentral:rRNA from 1 species